GGAGGGGGGCCCCGCCUGGCAGGAAAUUAAACAUCAAUCAAUCAAUCGCUGUGAGCAAGGCGACCCUACGGCGGCGGGGCUUCGGAGGAGGCAGAGGGACAAGCAAGGGGCGGGUGGGAGGCAAGGAGGAGGGAGGAGGAGGAAGGAGAGAGUCGGCGGUAGGAGCCGGGUGACGAGGACCUCGCGCACGAGGCAGCGAAGGACCGAUGGCAGAGGACCGAGUGCGGCGCGAGGCGGUGGCCGCGGCCAGCGGGUGGGUGCGUCUGGGCGCCGCCGGGCACCUGGGCCCAGGGUCUGGUCCUCCUCCUUGCGGCGGGUCCAGGGCGCGGCCGCCUCGCUCAGCCCGUAGGCGCACUGGUCUCGGCGCGGAGGCGGCGGCGACACGGCAGUCGCUGGGUGCCGCGUCUGCCGGCGGAGGCGCAGACCGACGCGCAAGAGGCGACCGCGGUUGCCUCGGCUCCCAGCUCUGUUAACUGCGCGGAGUACUUUCGACUUUGGAGAUAGGAGGGCGAUCGCCUCCCCCACCCACCGCCUCCGCCCACCACCCACCGCCUCCGCCCCUCCGAGCAACUUUUCCCGGUGCCUGCUAGCUCCCGCUCAGCGCCGAGCCCAGCGUCCCGGCCCGCCGCGCUCCGUGCCGCGGCGCGCGCAGGGAAGGCCGCUUCUCCUUCAGAGCUGGCACGGCCGCGAGUCCGGAACAAUAGCCUGGGUGUCCCGAAUGGCAGGAGCACGGCCACCGCCCGCCGGGCUGUGGGUGGCACAGGAAUGGGGGUUGCGUGGUGGGCGCAGAGCGGGGUGCAUCCCUGGAUGGCAUCCCUGGAGCGCUCGCCGCUCUGGCGACAUCGCGAGCGGCGCAGACCCGGCCGCCUGGAGCCCGUGACGCGGUGGCGGCGAGGGCGGUGGGUCUGCCUGUCCUCGAGCUACAGGACUAGGGCUCCUGGGGACCCCGCGCUGCUCGAACCCAGGGCUGCGGGAGCGAGCAGAACUGUGCCGUAAGGACCCGGCCUCCCCGCCUUGGGGGAGGCCGCACAGGAGCGUCCCCAGCAGGUCCCGCGAAGGCGUAACAGAGCCACAAACUUUUGCCGACUCCCGCGGCCGCGGCCGGCUGCAGCCCGACUCCGGCUGCGGUGCUCAUUUAAGGUGGCGCGCCUACUAGCCAAGCAGGCUGGCCUCCGGCCGCGCUAUUGUCCUUGCGAUUCCGCUUCGGCGCGGUGCCUCCUUAAGGAAAAGCACGUGGGCAGGGGCCGCAGCCCCCUCGAGACGCCCGGGGCGUCGGCGGACCUUAGCCGCUAGGACCUUAGGUGAGAAAAUGUGGACGCAUCCUCGCCGGCCCUGAGGCCAGAGAAACCCCCUCAACUGGUUGCGCCUCCAGUCCCUCCCGCACACGCCUACUCUCCCUCCUAAUCCCCUGAACCCCGAGGGCGCUCCCACUUCUCGCCGCCAGAGCCACCGAUCCCCCUUAAGAAGCGUCGACUGUACGGCGGCGCCAGAGGGCCAAACUCAGUUCGGUUUCGGGAAACGCGCUCGGGAGUAAUUCUGGAAAUCCCGGCUGGGUGCACAGACUGGAAAGCUGAGUCCGCCGAUUGUGCCCAGGACAAGGCCGCCUUCGACUCGUCGCAUCUCCCUGGUGGGCGGCAGACGCACAGGCUGAGAGGCUUCAGAACCUCUGGAAGAGAAAGGGUCCCAGAAAGGAAACCUGCCCCCGGCCUAAGAGUCGGCGCCCAGAUCACCAAGAACCCAGCACCCAGGCGCCGCCCACCAAGUUCCAAAGAAGCCCCAGGCGACCCGGGAGUCGGUAGGAUCCCAGCGAGAAAAGAAACAAGCAGGAUAGUAAAUCUUAGGGGAGCCACCCUGGGAGCUUUAGGCAGCGUUUGCCUUUCCCUGGUUUUCUUCACCAAGCCCCAUCCUCCCCUGCACCCCACCCCCAGUCAAACGGGUUGGAGAAAAUGCCCAGUUCGAAGUCGGUAAGAGCAAAGUGGCUCCAGUAAAUCAACCCGUGGUGGUAGUUAAAAGGUUUGGGGCUGCAAGAAACAAACUGUAAGUUUGAGCAACAAACUUUUUUUUCAAUCUGUAAUAUGUCGAAAUGGGAAGGGGGUGUUGCAAAAGCCAACUACCACUGUCAAACUUAGCCCGUUUACAACAUGAGGAAAGACGUAUUUCUUACUAAUAUCUCAACAACGAUAACAAUGCUGUUUCCUUCCUUACCUUGAUGUUGAACUGCGAAUCCUCCUCCGGAUCAAUGUCCAGGAACUUAGAAGAAUUGGUGAUAUUAGGAGUUCAGU